GCUACUGUGGCUCAGUUGGUAGAGCAGCUGAUUCGUAAUCAGCAGGUCGCGGGUUCGAGUCCCGCCAGUAGCUCCA
rnacentral:tRNA from 1 species